CGGACGGGUGAGUAACGCGUAGGAAUCUACCUGGUAGUGGGGGACAACAUGGUGAAAACCAUGCUAAUACCGCAUACGCCCUAAGGGAGAAAGCGGGGGAUCUUCGGACCUCGCGCUAUUGGAUGAGCCUGCGUAAGAUUAGCUAGUUGGUGGGGUAAAAGCUCACCAAGGCGACGAUCUUUAGCUGGUCUGAGAGGAUGAUCAGCCACACUGGAACUGAGACACGGUCCAG
rnacentral:rRNA from 1 species